UACGUAGGGUGCGAGCGUUAAUCGGAACUACUGGGCGUAAAGCGUGCGCAGGCGGUUUUGUAAGCCAGAUGUGAAAGCCCCGGGCUUAACCUGGGAAUGGCAUUUGGGACUGCAAGGCUUGAGUGCGGCAGAGGAGACUGGAAUUCCUGGUGUAGCAGUGAAAUGCGUAGAUAUCCGGAGGAACACCGGUGGCGAAGGCGGCAUCCUGGACCAAUACUGACACUGAGGAGCGAAAGCCAGGGGAGCAAACGGG
rnacentral:rRNA from 1 species